GCCUACGGGGGGCAGCAGUAGGGAAUUUUCCACAAUGGGCGAAAGCCUGAUGGAGCAACGCCGCGUGGGUGAAGAAGGUCUUCGGAUCGUAAAACCCUGUUGUUAGAGGAGAAAGUGCGUGAGAGUAACUGUUCACGUUUCGACGGUAUCUAACCAGAAAGCCACGGCUAACUACGUGCCAGCAGCCGCGGUAAUACGUAGGGGGCAAGCGUUAUCCGGAUUUAUUGGGCGUAAAGGGAACGCAGGCGGUCUUUUAAGUCUGAUGUGAAAGCCUUCGGCUUAACCGGAGUAGUUCAUUGGAAACU
rnacentral:rRNA from 1 species